UAUUGCGCAAUGGGAGAAAGCCUGACGCAGAGACGCCGCGUGGGGGAUGAAGGUCUUCGGAUUGUAAACCCCUUUCGGGAGGGAAGAUGGUAUGGGGUAACCCAUUCAGACGGUACCUCCANAAGCAGCCAAGGNUAACUUCGUGCCAGCAGCCGCGGUUAUACGAAGGUGGCAAGCGUUAUUCGGAUUUACUGGGCGUACAGGGAGCGUANGCGGUUCGGAAAUCCCUCUGUGAAAUCUUCAGGCAUAACCUGGAAAAGUCGGNAGGGACUGCCGGGCUAGAGGACGGGAGAGGAGCGCGGAAUUCCCGGUGUAGCGGUGAAAUGCGUANAGAUCGGGAGGAAGGCCGGUGGCNAAGGCGGCNCUCUGGAAUGUUUCUGACNCUGAGGCUCGAAAGCGUGGGGAGCAAACAGUAUUAGAUNCCCUGGUAGUCCACGCCUUAAACUUUGAAUACUAAGUGUCGGCGGUUUACCACCGGNGCCGCAUCUAUCGCAUUAAGUAUNCCCNCUGGGAAGNACNGCCGCAAGGUU
rnacentral:rRNA from 1 species